GCCGUGUAUGUCGUUAUGUUAAACAUGAUUUGAAGCCAAGUGUUAAAGGACCACUAUAGUGCCAGGAAAACAAACUUGUUUUUCUGGCACUAUAUAGUCCUUAGGCCCACCCACACUCAGGGCCCCCCUCCCGCUGGGCUGAAGACCCAUCAGCUACUUACCUUAAUCCAGGCUCCCUCUGCGCUGGUGACCUCUCCUCCCCCUCCGACGUCAGCUCCCGAGU